rnacentral:rRNA from 1 species
GAAUAUUGGUCAAUGGGCGCAAGCCUGAUCCAGCCAUCCCGCGUGAGUGAUGAAGGCUCUCGGGUCGUAAAGCUCUGUGGGGAGAGACGAAACCUGAAGGGGAUAAUAUCCCUUCAGCUGACGGUAUCUCCUUAGCAAGCACCGGCUGACUCCGUGCCAGCAGCCGCGGUAAUACGGAGGGUGCAAACGUUGCUCGGAAUCAUUGGGCGUAAAGCGCGCGUAGGCGGCUAGAUAAGUCGGAUGUGAAAUCCCUCGGCUUAACCGGGGAAGUGCAUUCGAAACUGUCUAGCUUGAGUAUGGGAGAGGAUUGCGGAAUUCCCGGUGUAGAGGUGAAAUUCGUAGAUAUCGGGAGGAACACCAGAGGCGAAGGCGGCAAUCUGGACCAAUACUGACGCUGAGGUGCGAAAGCGUGGGGAGCAAACAGG